rfam:Pedobacter sp. AJM contig01, whole genome shotgun sequence.
AAUAUAGUGGACUGAUUUGCUAUUCCGAAGAGAUUCGGAACGGAUUGCAACCACUUAAAAAAAAGUGCUAAUACCUCCUUC